rnacentral:rRNA from 1 species
AUUGAACGCUGGCGGCAGGCCUAACACAUGCAAGUCGAGCGAGCGGCGGACGGGUGAGUAAUGUAUGGGGACUGCCCGCUAGAGGGGGAUAACUACUGGAAACGGUAGCUAAUACCGCAUACUAUCGGAUAACCCAUAUGGGAUUAGAUCUUAGGUGAGGUAAUGGCUCACCUAGGCGACGAUCCCUAUCUGGUCUGAGAGGAUGAUCAGCCACACUGGAACUGAGACACGGCCCAGACUCCUACGGAGGCAGCAGUGGGGAAUAUUGCACAAUGGGCGAAAGCCUGAUGCAGCCAUGCCGAGGGUAUGAAGAAGGCCCUAGGGUUGUAAAGUACUUUCAGUCGGGAGGCGUUACCGGAAGAAGAAGCACCGGCUAACGCCGUGCCAGCAGCCGCGGUAAUUC